ensembl:lncRNA LINC02180 long intergenic non-protein coding RNA 2180
AUUGUGACAUACGUAGCUGGUACAAAAGAAUGUUUGCUUGCCCUCUUGAAGGUCUUGAACACUGCUGGAAGCCUACUAGAUAUUUAAUGUAAUCACCAUGAUAAUGGCUAAGAUUUAUUAAGCAUCUGCUAUGUGCUUUAUGGUGCUAAGAACUUCUCAUGUAUUUACUCAUUGAAUCUUCACAAAAACCUUAUGAACAUCAGAGCUGAUGAAUACUCAGUCAGAAGAAAUGCAGGCCUGCAGGUUUGUCCACAAAGUGUUCCCAUCAACCGUGACGGCUCUCUCAAAUGUUACUGUCUAUAUGAAUCCACCUUGGGAUAUUAGUAAAAUGAGUUUCUGAUACAGAAGAUCUAGAAAGCGCCUGAAAUGCUGAUAUUCUGUCUCCCAGGUGGAGGAGUUCAGCUAUUACCUUGACUUUGCCGAAGUCCUAGGCACUCCCAUGCCCUCAGAGUCUCAUUUUGAAUCCAGGCACUUAGGGAUGCUAUUUUUCCACAUCAAACAGCUUCCUCCCAGCCAAAGAAUUCUGGUGACAGUAGUGAAGAUAAUUUUCACUCCUGCUUACAGAAUGACAAAGCAAAAGCAAAGAGGAGAAGAAUGAAGUAAAGACAACCAAAGGAAAAGACUGAUGGCUCCUUAAGAAUGAUCUUGAUAAAGGAAUGGUGGCUGAGGGGUCCAUCUCCUAAACCACCCACCUUACUGACUCCCUAGAGCAAUGCCAUACAGAAAGCUGCACCUUGAGGGGAAGACACAAGAAUCCUGGAGUGGAAAAAAAUUGGGUAAUGAUGACAGCCUUCGAGGUCUUGAGAGUAAAGCAGAAGCAAAAAAAAAGUGUUAUUUUUAUCUUUUGAAGAUGGUUCCCUCUUAAGACUUUUGCGAAUGAUUAAGAUUUCAAUUAUGUUCCAGGAAAAAAAUAAGAUUUUUGCUUGACAAAAAAAAUUUUUGUCUAGAACAGGUGGGAAGGAAGAGAUAGUUUAGCCACAUCCAAGAGACCUGUAAAUUGGGUACAGUGAAGUGAAUGGUGUACCAGUCAUAAAAGAAUGUUAACUGGAGAAGUCUCUGCUGUCUUCCUGUAACUGAGGGGGGUGUAACCAUCCUUGUGGAAGCGUCCACUUUUAUUGAAGAUUGGCUAAAUAAAUCUGUGCCUACUGAAACUCAAGCCAUUUCAAA